CCCUUAGAUGUUCUGGGCCGCACGCGUGCUACACUGAGUAAAUCAAUGGGUAAGGGAACACGAAAGUGCAACCUAAUCUUGAAAUUUGCUCGUGAUGGGGAUCGACGGUUGCAAUUUUCCGUCGUGAACGAGGAAUACCUUGUAGGCGCGUGUCAUCAUCACGCGCCGAAUACGUCCCUGCCCUUUGUACACACUGCCCGUCGCUCCUACCGAUUGAGUGAUCCGGUGAGGCUCUGGGACCUGGACGGAAAGAGCGUUUCGCUUGUUCUGUUUGGGAAACUUGGUCGAACCUUAUCAUUUAGAGGAAGGAGAAGUCGUAACA
rnacentral:rRNA from 1 species